rnacentral:rRNA from 1 species
CAGUAGUCAUAUGCUUGUUUCAAGGAUUAAGCCAUGCAAGUCUCAGAGUAAAUGGAUUAAAAGUGGAUCUGCAGACGGCUCAUUAUAUCAGCUACAAUCUACGUGGGAAAGGUGCCUUACGGCGUCCAUUGGGAUAACAAAGGUAACUCCUUUGCUAAUACCUGUCCGAAAGAUCUCACUCACAUUCCACCCUGGUGGGGAAACCUGCCGGGGGUGAGGGAGAUGCAAUUGACUGAAACUAAAACCAACGCUAGCAAUAGCAGUGGUAGGAGGAUGAAACAGGUCAAUCGAGCGAUAGCACACAGCCUCGUUGUUGGUGCAGCCCACAAGAGCUUCUGCCCUAUCAGCUUUUGACGGUAGUGUAGUGGACUACCGUGGCUGUAACGGGUAACGGGGAAUUAGGGUUCGAUUCCGGAGAGGGAGCCUGAGAAACGGCUACCACAUCUAAGGAUGGCAGCAGGCGCGCAAAUUGCCCAAUAGCAACACUGCUGAGGCAGCGAAGAGAAAUAGCAACUUCUGGCACACAUGUGUUAUGGAGCUUGCAAUGGAUGUUAUCUAAACCUAUCAGUGAGUAUCGAUUGGUGGACAAGUCUGGUGCCAGCACCCGCGGUAAUUCCAGCACCAAUAGCGUAUAUUAAUGCUGCUGCUGUUAAAAAGCUCGUAGUUGGAUCCAGAGUUCAGGUUGUAGGGUGGCCUUUGAGUUUGAAAGGCGCAACGUCCGAUUCGGAUCACGGAUCCACACCUUCAUCAAGGCCUGCGCUCUAUCAACGGUGGUAAUGGUACCCUGCGAUUAGGGCUUCGGCCUGAAAGCACUCCGCGUAUACCAUGCGCUUACGGGUCGACCGCCGAUGUUACUGUGAACAAAUCAGUGUGUCCAAAGCAGGCGUUCGCCUUGAAUGAUAAAGCAUGGAAUAACAAGGGAUCGAUUCUCUCGAGUCUUUUUGUUGGUUUUUAGCUCGAGAAGGAGUAAUUCGAGCUACGUGCCUACUUGCUGAGUCUUCGGACUCAUUACAGACCGUGGCCCUGCGGGAUCAAUAGGGACUGCCGGGGUCGUACGUACUCCCACGUCAGAGGUGAAAUUCUUAGAUCGUGGGAAGACGAACUUCUGCGAAAGCAUUCGACAAGAAUGUCUUCAUUAAUCAAGAACGAGAGUGUGGGGAUCGAAGAUGAUCAGAUACCGUCGUAGUCCACUACUGUAAACGAUGCCGUCUCAGGAUCGAGAGAUGUACAUUAAUGACUCUCACGGCACUAACCCCUGAAACGAGAAAUCAAAGAUUAUGGGUUCAGGGGGGAGUACAUUCGCAAGGCUGAAACUUAAAGGAAUUGACGGAAUGACACCACCAGGCGUGGAGUAUGCGGCUUAAUUUGACUCAACACGGGGAAUUUUACUAGGUCAGGACAAUGCCAGGAUUGACAGAUUGAGAGCUCUUUCUCGAUCCAUUGUGUGGUGGUGCAUGGCCGCUCCUGGUUGGUGGAGUGAUUUGUCUGGUUGAUUCCGUUAACGAACGAGAUCUCGACCCUUAAAUAGGUAUGCUCGUCGCUUCGGUGGACUCCUUCGCACUUAGACAGGGCAGCUACUUCUUAAGGGGACUGCGUGCGCUUCUAGUACGCGGAAGAGCGAGCCAAUAGCAGGUCUGUGAUGCUCCUAAAUGUCCUAGGCUGCACGCGCACUACACUGACGCAUUAAACGAGUCUGUUUGCCUUACGGCAACCUAUCUUGAAGAGGAUGGGAAACCUUUUGAACUUGCGUCGUGAUGAGGAUCGAUGAUUGCAAUUAUUCUCCUUGAAUGAGGAAUGCCUAGUAGGCGCAAGUCAUCAGCUUGCACUGAUUACGUCCCUGCCAUUUGUACACACCGCCCGUCGUUGCUACCGAUUGGCUGUGGGAUAGAGCUGGACGGAGAUUGCUACUUUGGGAUCUCCCACUGCAGCGUUCCGAAUCCAAGCAAUAUUUCUCAGCUAGAGGAAGCAAAAGUCGUAACAAGGUUGCUGUAGGUG